GACGAACGCUGGCGGCGUGCUUAACACAUGCAAGUCGAACGGAAAGGCCCUGCUUUUGUGGGGUGCUCGAGUGGCGAACGGGUGAGUAACACGUGAGUAACCUGCCCUUGACUUUGGGAUAACUUCAGGAAACUGGGGCUAAUACCGGAUAGGAGCUCCUGCUGCAUGGUGGGGGUUGGAAAGUUUCGGCGGUUGGGGAUGGACUCGCGGCUUAUCAGCUUGUUGGUGGGGUAGUGGCUUACCAAGGCUUUGACGGGUAGCCGGCCUGAGAGGGUGACCGGCCACAUGGGGACUGGGAUACGGCCCAGACUCCUACGGGAGGCAGCAGUGGGGAAUAUGGCACAAUGGGCGGAAGCCUGAUGCAGCAACGCCGCGUGCGGGAUGACGGCCUUCGGGUUGAAAACCGCUUUCGCCUGUGACGAAGCGUGAGGGACGGUAAUGGGUAAAGAAGCACCGGCUAACUACGU
rnacentral:rRNA from 1 species